AUUGAACGCUGGCGGCAGGCCUAAUACAUGCAAGUCGAACGAUUGGCGCACGGGUGAGUAAUUUCUGGGAAACUGCCCGAUGGAGGGGGUUAACUACUGGAAACGGUAGCUAAUACCGCAUACCAUCGCAUUUGCCCAGAUGGGAUUAGCUAGUAGGUGUGGUAACGGCUCACCUAGGCGACGAUCCCUAGCUGGUCUGAGAGGAUGACCGGCCACACGGGAACUGAGACACGGUCCAGACUCCUACGGGAGUCAGCAGAGGGGAAUAUUGCACAAUGGGCGAAAGCCUGAUGCAGCCAUGCCGCGUGUAUGAAGAAGGCCUUCGGGUUGUAAAGUACUUUCAGCGAGGAGGCGGUACUCGCAGAAGAAGCACCGGCUAACUCCGUGCCAGCAGCCGCGGUAAUAC
rnacentral:rRNA from 1 species